rnacentral:rRNA from 1 species
AACGAACGCUGGCGACAUGCCUAACACAUGCAAGUCGAACGAGAUCUUCGGGUCUAGUGGCGCACGGGUGCGUAACGCGUGGGAAUCUGCCCUUUGGUUCGGAAUAACAGUUGGAAACGACUGUUAAUACCGGAUGAUGACGAAAGCCCAAAGAUUUAUCGCCAGAGGAUGAGCCCGCGUAGGAUUAGCUAGUUGGUGUGGUAAAGGCGCACCAAGGCGACGAUCCUUAGCUGGUCUGAGAGGAUGAUCAGCCACACUGGGACUGAGACACGGCCCAGACUCCUACGGGAGGCAGCAGUGGGGAAUAUUGGACAAUGGGCGAAAGCCUGAUCCAGCAAUGCCGCGUGAGUGAUGAAGGCCUUAGGGUUGUAAAGCUCUUUUACCCGGGAUGAUAAUGACAGUACCGGGAGAAUAAGCUCCGGCUAACUCCGUGCCAGCCGCCGCGGUAA